rnacentral:misc_RNA from 1 species
GAUGAAGAACGUAGCGAAAUGCGAUACGUAAUGUGAAUUGCAAAUUCAGUGAAUCAUCGAGUCUUUGAACGCACAUUGCGCCCCCUGGUAUUCCGGGGGGCAUGCCUGUCCGAGCGUCAUUGCUGCCCUCAAGCACGGCUUGUGUGUUGGGCCCCGUCCUCCGAUCCCGGAGGACGGGCCCGAAAGGCAGCGGCGGCACCGCGUCCGGUCCUCGAGCGUAUGGGGCUUUGUCACCCGCUCUGUAGGCCCGGCCGGCGCUUGCCGAUCAACCCAAAUUUUUAUCCAGGUUGACCUCGGAUCAGGUAGGGAUACCCGCUGAACUUAAGCAUAUCAAUAAGCGGAGGA